GUAAAUGCUCCACAAAUCCAGCAUUUCAUGGCUUUUCCCAACAGAGGACUUGGGCAGGCUGGAAUCAGAGGCUCAGAGAGGCAACAAGACUUGACCAGUGAUGCACAGCAAGUGAGCAGAAAGUGGGCACCUACUUCCUUCCCCUGGAGUUCCUGUCACCUGUCACUUGUGGGUGGGUUCAGCCCAUUCCCCAACAAAAGGUCGAGGCCCCUGCCCCAAUUUCCCCAGUUUCUCCUAUGAUCUUAGUAGCAGACCAAUAGGGAGAAGAGAACAAUUCAUGUUUGAGAGCGUUGAGAACCAAGGCCCAGAGAGGGAAAGUGAUUUGCCCAAGGCCCCUCGGCAAGUCUGGUGGUAAGGCAUAGAAUGAACUCCCCUUGUCUCCUGAUUCCCAGUCCUGGUUCUUUUCUGCAAACCACUGAGAAAAUGUCCAUAAACCUGCAGGCUGGGGACUAAGCAGAGGGUCCUUCACUCUUCUGGGUGCUUCCUGCCCUCCCCGUGGGUACCAGCAAUUCACGCUUUAUCCGGGAGGCCUCCAGGCUGCAGGAUGGGCUGCCUCUCGACUGGUAAGCAAAUCCCCUGCUGAGCAGGUCAUAUUUUAUCCAGGGCGCCACCUGCCAGCUCAUUUGCUUACAGAUACAGGUGCUUCAUCAGGGAGGAAUUAGUGAUUACUUAGCCCAGAGACCCUGGCAGACAGAGAGCAAGCCAGGGCGAUAGCUGGAGUGGGAAGCCAGGGAUCUGACAGUGAAGUCUCUAUCUCCUCCCAGGCUGCUUAGCCCUGCUCUGGACCCAAAGCACUGGGGUUAAGGAUAGAAGGAAGGACCUCUCUGCUUUGGGAAAAACUGAUGGCCCACUCCCACCCCCAUACAUAUCCUACCAGUUCUCCGAGCCUUGGUGCCAAUGUCCUCCGAGUCUGUUCCCCCAAACCUUUUACGUUGCUUGUUUGAAGCCUUGUUUACUCAUUUAUCUAUUUAUUUUUAAAGUAAUUUUUAGGGGACUUCCCUGGUGGACCAGUGGUUAAGACUCUGUGCUUCCACUGCAGGGGCACCAGUUUGAUUCCCAGUCAGGGAACUAAGAUCUCACAUGCCUUGCAGUGUGACCAAUAAUAAUAAUUAUUAUUGGUCUUGGAACCAUUUUAGAUUUACAGAAAAAUGACGUAGUGCAGAGAGUUCGCAUAUGCCUGGCACCCAGUUUCCCCUAUUAUUAACAUCCUACAUUUGUAUGGUCCAUUUGUCACAAUUAA
rnacentral:lncRNA from 1 species